rnacentral:rRNA from 1 species
CUACGGGACGCUCCAGUGAGGAAUAUUGCACAAUGGGGGGAACCCUGAUGCAGCAACGCCGCGUGGAGGAUGACGCAUUUCGGUGUGUAAACUCCUUUUAUAUGUCAAGAAAAUGACGGUAGCAUAUGAAUAAGCACCGGCUAACUCCGUGCCGGCAGCCGCGGUAAUACGGAGGGUGCAAGCGUUACUCGGAAUCACUGGGCGUAAAGGACGCGUAGGCGGGUUGGAAAGUCAGGUGUGAAAUCCUACAGCUUAACUGUAGAACUGCACUUGAAACUUCUAAUCUAGAGUAUGGGAGGGGGAGAUGGAAUUAGUGGUGUAGGGGUAAUAUCCGUAGAUAUCACUAGGAAUACCUAAAGCGAAGGCGAUCUCCUGGAACAUUACUGACGCUAAGGCGUGAAGGCGUGGGGAGCAAACAGGAUUAGAUACCCCCGUAGUC